GACGCUCGACGCCGCUCGGUAUGUCACGCGGGUUGCGUUCCAACAUUUCUAAUCGGGGAGCUUGGCUGGUGGCGGUAUCGGCCGUAUAGGCUGUUAACGUCGGCCGCGGGCACCCACCUGGUAGAUCCAGGGGACGAAUUUCAGUGGCAGCCGGCGGCCGUGGAGCGUCG
rnacentral:other from 1 species